AGUGAACGCUGGCGGUAGACCUAACACAUGCAAGUCGAACGGCAGCACAGUAAGAGCUUGCUCUUACGGGUGGCGAGUGGCGGACGGGUGAGGAAUACAUCGGAAUCUACUUUUUCGUGGGGGAUAACGUAGGGAAACUUACGCUAAUACCGCAUACGACCUACGGGUGAAAGCAGGGGAUCUUCGGACCUUGCGCGAUUGAAUGAGCCGAUGUCGGAUUAGCUAGUUGGCGGGGUAAAGGCCCACCAAGGCGACGAUCCGUAGCUGGUCUGAGAGGAUGAUCAGCCACACUGGAACUGAGACACGGUCCAGACUCCUACGGGGGGCAGCAGUGGGGAAUACUGGACAAUGGGCGCAAGCCUGAUCCAGCCAUACCGCGUGGGUGAAGAAGGCCUUCGGGUUGUAAAGCCCUUUUGUUGGGAAAGAAAAGCAGCAGGUUAAUACCCCGCUGUUCUGACGGUACCCAAAGAAUAAGCACCGGCUAACUUCGUG
rnacentral:rRNA from 1 species